rnacentral:rRNA from 1 species
AUGCAAAUCAGCGCUAAGAGAACCUGCUAUGCCUCUGCUUCCUCUGUCUUUGCCGCAUCCGGGCCACGAGGAUGGGUAGAGCUCCCGGAAGAUUUGCUCCAAUGUGUCGUUGCUCUCCUCGGCUCCUCCCGCGACCUCCUCGCCUUCGGUGCCACCUGUCGUCCUUGGCGUGAUCUCUUCUCGGUAUGCACGUGCUCUCUGCAGCCUCUCCUCCUACACCCGAGUGCCGACAGCAAACCAUCUCCCCAGUUUAACCGCUGGACGACCUUGCAAGGAUGCACGUGGAGAUUGGCUGUUCCUGCUGGCACCUCAUCCUAUCCCAGUUUGCUUUCCUUGAGUGACCUCAGAGGCAUGUUCUUUCUUGGCUGCUCCUACGGCCACCUCAUCUUCUGCGACGAUGAUGGGUUCUACAUUGUUAAUGCGUUCAGCGGCAGUAAGGUUGUGCCUCCUUGCCUCAAGUCAGAUCACUUCACCAGCAUCAGCUAUGCCACCUUGACAGCCCCUGUUGCAUCCGAUGACUCGCAUCUCCUUGUUGGCAGUGGAGCCUAUCUGUUCCAGUGGCGCAUCGGGAGCGACUCUUGGUUGGAACACUAUCCUAAAGUUAAUUUUCUUAAGAUUGAACAAGUCGUGGCCCUGAAGGGCAAAGCAUAUGCCCUAGGGUCUUUCGGGUCCUUCUGCGUUGUACAAUUCUUACCCAGUCUCUUAAUUCAGAAGUUUGAAGUUAUACUUGAGGAAGGUAGAACCGAGGAUCUUUAUUGGACAAAUAAAAAAACAUGGCUUGUUGCGUGCGGUGACGCGCUUCUUUUGAUCAAACUUGAGGCAGCAAGAAAGACAUUCUCGGAGGUCAUCCAGUUCAAGGCCUUCAAGCUUGAGUCGUUGGACGCCGUGACCAAGAAGGCAAGGUGGGUUAAGGUGGACAGGUUGGAUAACUGGGCCAUCUUUGUCAGCGCAACCACAUAUACUUCCCAAGUUAUCAUCCUGAGCAGCCUUGGGCUGCAGUCCAACUAUGGCAAAAACGUAACGACUCUUCAACACGUUCGCAGCUCGAGAACACUGGAAACCGGUACCGCAGAUUGGAGUCAACCUGGGUGA